rnacentral:tRNA from 1 species
GACUCGUUAGCUCAGUAGGUAGAGCACAUCCCUUUUAAGGAUGGGGUCUUGGGUUCGAGCCCCAAACGGGUCA